rnacentral:rRNA from 1 species
UACAGAGGGUGCAAGCGUUGCUCGGAUUUACUGGGCGUAAAGCGUACGCAGACGGUGAGAAAGGUCGGAUGUGAAAGCCCCGGGCUCAACCCGGGAACUGCAUCCGAAACCAUCUCGCUAGAGUAUGGGAGAGGGAAGCGGAAUUCCUGGUGUAGAGGUGAAAUUCGUAGAUAUCAGGAGGAACACCUGCGGCGAAGGCGGCUUCCUGGCCCAUUACUGACGUUCAGGUACGAAAGCGGUGGGUAGCAACAG